rnacentral:rRNA from 1 species
AUUGAACGCUGGCGGCAGGCCUAACACAUGCAAGUCGAACGAGUGGCGGACGGGUGAGUAAUGUCUGGGAAACUGCCUGGUGGAGGGGGAUAACUACUCGAAACAGUAGCUAAUACCGCAUACUAUUCGAUGUGCCCAGGUGGGAUUAGCUAGUUGGUGGGGUAACGGCCCACCAAGGCGACGAUCCGUAGCUGGUCUGAGAGGAUGACCAGCCACACUGGAACUGAGACACGGUCCAGACUCCUACGGGAGGCAGCAGUGGGGAAUAUUGCACAAUGGGCGCAAGCCUGAUGCAGCCAUGCCGCGUGUAUGAAGAAGGCCUUCGGGUUGUAAAGUACUUUCGGCAAGGAAGCGUUACUCGCAGAAGAAGCACCGGCUAACUCCGUGCCAGCAGCCGCGGUAAUAC